CCUACGGGAGGCAGCAGUGGGGAAUAUUGGACAAUGGGGGCAACCCUGAUCCAGCCAUGCCGCGUGUGUGAAGAAGGCCCUCGGGUUGUAAAGCACUUUCAGUGAGGAAGAACGCCUGGUGGUUAAUACCCAUCAGGAAAGACAUCACUCACAGAAGAAGCACCGGCUAACUCCGUGCCAGCAGCCGCGGUAAUACGGAGGGUGCGAGCGUUAAUCGGAAUUACUGGGCGUAAAGCGCGCGUAGGUGGCUUGAUAAGCCGGUUGUGAAAGCCCCGGGCUCAACCUGGGAACGGCAUCCGGAACUGUCAAGCUAGAGUGCAGGAGAGGAAGGUAGAAUUCCCGGUGUAGCGGUGAAAUGCGUAGAGAUCGGGAGGAAUACCAGUGGCGAAGGCGGCCUUCAGGACUGACACUGACACUGAGGUGCGAAAGCGUGGGUAGCAAACAGGAUUAGAUACCCCGGUAGUC
rnacentral:rRNA from 1 species